UAAAUUUAUAUAUAUUUAUAUAUAUAUAUGUAAAGACAGGUAUUUGGGACCAAUGCCUGGAUUAGCACUUACCAGGAGUCCCCUUUCCCCAUCUCUCCAUCCCAUGCUGCAGUUUGGGUUGUAUUCCUUGCUCCUCAGUCACCUGGAGCAUCCAUUCCCCUGGAGCUCCAUGAGCCCUUUGGACUCAAGAGGGCAGGGGUUUGCCCUGCAGUGCCUGCUGAAGUACAUCUCCAGGUAGUAGAGCACCUUGGCCAUGCACAGUGCAUCUGGCAGAGCAGUGAGGGCUCCAUUUUGCUCAUUGCACUCAACAUCUCCAGGGACUGUGGGGUUCCCUGUCAGACCUUGCUCUUCUCCAUCCUCCCUCCAAGGAGCCUUGGAUAAGGCUUCUAACAGCCUGGAGGCUCCAGGCAGCCAGGCCCUGCCAGACUGCCCUGAGGGCCAAGGGGAUUAAUAUCUCACAGCACAUCUGUAACUGAUUCUUGGCAUUCCAGGGAGUCUGGCACAACUGUGAGCAGCUCUGAAUUAAAUCAAGCUUCUUAAUUUGUGCAGCUCAAUUUUUUUUUUUAUUUAUUUUUUUGAGAGGGAGUCUUGCUCUGUCGCCCAGGCUGGAGUGCAGUAGCGCGAUCUCGGCUCAUUGCAAGCUCCGCCUCCUGGGUUCACGCCAUUCUUCUGCCUCAGCUUCCCGAGUAGCUGGGACUACAGGCGUCCACCACCACGCCCGGCUAAUUUUUUGUAUUUUUAGGGAGACGGAGUUUCACCAUGGUCUCGAUCUCCUGACCCUGUGAUCCGCCCGCCUUGGCCUCCCAAAGUGCUGGGAUUACAGGCGUGGGCCACCGGCGCCCGGCUGGCUCAAAUUUUUAAAAUUCUUACUAAUUUUUUAUUUGCUAGAUCACCCCCUUUCUAUCUUGUCCUUUAUUAUCCAUUUAAUCCUAUCCUUUUUUUGAAACCCUAACAGUCAUUAUUGUUGUGCUAAUCAGCUGCCUUUGCUUUCAGAUCCAUUUCCUGCCCUUCUUUUAUUCUACUCUGUAUUACAGCCAACCACAUUUCCAGGCUCCCUUGUCCUCUGCUAUCUAGGUGAGUUUUGUCAGUGGAAGACAUUGGUGGAAGGUUGGAUGCUUCUUCUUCUAGCAUCUCUGGUGGUGGCUGUGUUUCCUCCCUGACUCCAGCUCCCACUGGGUGUCAUUCACUUUGUGGUUUUGGUGCUUGCCCAAUGGCCUGGCUUCUGAGCCCUGCUUCUGCAGCCCAGGGAGAGUAGCAGCAGUCUGCUGUUUUUAGUGUCUGGGUUGCCACUCUUUUCCUGUUUGACCUCUCUGGGCUUCCAUGACCCACAUAAGUCAUUAAAUUCCCUCUGUCAAAAAGACUUAGGUUCCUGUUUCAUGACUGGAUGCUGACUGAUAUUGUUAUUACCAUUGUAACUAUUAUCGUUGUUAUUGUUUUUAUUAUUUUAUACUGCCAAUGCCUGUUUAAAUUUACCCAUGUGUUUUCAAAUUACUUUGAUCACCUUGCAUUUUGCAUUCCACUUCUAUACUUUUGGUUAAAGUUUUCUUCUUUUUGCAACAUAUCCCUAGCAUUUAUUUCUAUAAAGGUCUGUGUUUUAGAUAACUUACAGAUUCAAAAUUUUAAAAUAUGGCUUUUUGUCAUUUACUUAAGAUCUGUAUGCAAGAAGAAAUGAAAAAGAUGAACAGGUAGAGUCCAGGACUACCUACCACAGCUCAGGUCAACAUUAAUUUUAUGAUUUAAUUAAUUCCAUAAAUUCUCUUUUCUGUAUGAAUAUAAGGUUCCUCCCUCCCUGUACUCACACAUCUACCUCUUCUAGGAGUUGCCUUGGGAUCCACAAAGAAAUUGAGGUGGUCCAGUACUCAUAAGCCAACAAACUUCAAAGGAGAGUCAAAUGUACAUUUUCAAAAUAAGAGUACUGAAAAGCAUUGAAAUAAACACACAAAAAGAGAUUCAAAUGUACAUCUUAAAAGGAGGAGGAGAUUCUUUGAAGAAGUAGGGGAAUAUGACGUUGAAAGUCUCUGAAGAGGUUGUGAUAGUUGUUUAAGGGAGUAGAACAUUAAAACAUUUUUGUCUGUUCAAUCUUAAUUUUUAAAAAUGAUAGCAUAGAGUUUGGCCAAUUAUGGAGGGGCUGAUUUCAUCACUAUCAAUGAGCAGUAAACUUUCUUGGUCUUUUAUUUGGGGAAUGUAUUUAUUUUACUUUCACUUUUGAAUGAGACUUAGCUGAUGCAAUGGACUGAAUUGUGUUCCUCCAGAAUUUGUAUGUUGAAGCUGUAAGGGCAAAUGUGACUGUAUUUGGAGGCAGGGCCUUUAAAGAGGUAAUUAAGGUUAACUAAGGUCAUAAAGAUGGGGCCUAACCCAAUAUCACUGUCCUUAUAAGAAGAGACACCCGGGAUGCAUUUGCACAGAGAAAAGGCCCCAGGAAGACACUGCAAGAAGAGGGUGCUCUUCAAGUCAGGGAGAAACCAAACCUACUAACACUUUGAUCUUUGACUUCUGGGCUCCGUAACUGUGAAAAAUAAGCUUCUGUUGUUUAAGCCACCUAAUUUGAGGUAUUUUGUUAUGGCAGCCCUAGAAAACUAAAUACAGCUGGGUAUAGAAUUCUAGGUUGAUGAUUUUGCUUUUAUAGUAUUUUUAUAAUAUUUUGAGAUGUGUGUCUUUGAAGUUCUGCAGUUGCAUUAUAUUGUGGCUUGCUUUGGAUUUGUUACAUUUAAGCUUUAUUUAUCCUUCCUGGAAUUCAUUACAGUUUUUGAACUUCAGGAUUCAAGUGUUUUAAUCAUUGAUGAAAACAUUUCAACCAUUAUCUCUUCAAGUAUUGCCUGUCUUAUUUUCCUCUAUUUCGCAUUCUUGGAAUUAAAUCUGUUGGUUCUCCUUUUCCGUCUUCCAUGUCCCUUAAUCUUCCAUAUUUUCCAGAUCUUUAUAUCUCUGUGCCUAUUGAGUAAUGUCUAAAAUCUGUUUUCCAGUUUAUAAAUUAUCUUGCUAUAUCAAAUCUGCUAUUUAACCUACUCAUUUAAGUUUUCAAUUUCCUUGACAUAUACCUAUGUGAAUGGGUGGGUUUUUACUUAGACUACCUUUUCAUGUAGAAUAUGUAGACUACCUUUUCAUGUAGAACCUAGCUUCUAUGCAAGGUUCUCAAUUCCAAUUUCCUGUCCACUUGGGCCCAGUGCUUACCUCAUGUUUCCACAUGAGCGUGAAAUCACAAGCCCUUGGGUGAACAGAAUCAGUAAUCACUGGUCGGGUGCAGUGGCUCAUGCCUGUAAUCCCAGCACUUUGGGAGGCUGAGGUAGGCGGAUCAUGAGGUCAGGAGUUUGAGACCAGCUUGGCCAACAUGGUGAAAUCCUGUCUCUACUAAAAAUACAAAAAAAAAAAAAAAGUAAAUAAAUAAAAUUAGCUGAGCAUGGUGGCAUGCGCCUGUAAUCCCAGCUACUUGGGAGGCUGAGGCAAGAGAAUUGCUUGAACCCAGCAGGUGGAGAUUGCAAUGAGCCGAGAUCACCCCACUGCACUCCAGCCUGGGUGACAGAGCGAGACUCCAUCUCAAAAAAAUUAAUAAAUAAUAAUAAUAGUCACCCUUCCACCUCCAUAGCACAGCUACGUCAUGAACUGACACCUUAAAACUUUGUUCUGUUUUCAAUUAUCUCUUGGUUUCUGAUGCCUGGGUAUUUCUUUUUCUUUCUUGAGAGCUUAAGCAUGAAUAUAAAACAUUUCAAAUUUUAUAUUUUAUCCAGUAUUUCUAGCUUUUUAAUAGUGAGAUUUAUCUUACUCUCCCAUUUUAUUAAAACAGAAAGUCUUGAGUAACAUUUUAAUACUGAGAAAAAAAGCCUCAUUAUUAGUUUUAGAAAAAGAGAGACAAUCUGUGUUGUUCUGGAACCAAGACAAAGUUCUAGAAGAUUCUCUCUUGAUCCUUAAACAGCAUAGAAAAACCAGGUAAGUUGACUAUGUUCACGUUUAGGAGUAUGAUGGCCAAUGGAUCCAAAACCUAUCCUAUAUCUACAUGUUGGUGGCCACAUUAAUCUGACAUCUGACAGCAAGAGCGAUGAUUGGGUUCACUGGAAAUCUUUGUGAAGUACGAGUGAAGUCCUUGUGAAGUCAGAGUUUCCUCUUCAUGCCUCUACUCCUAUGCAGUUUGACCUCUCAGUGUGCAGCUGGUGAUAGAUGGAAACCCUUGUUCAUAAGCUUUGUGGCACUGUCGGCAGGAUGAGGGGACUUCUGGAUCCUCACUGGUCACUGUGGCAGAGUGGUUGGUGUUGUCUGCUCCCUAGACAGGAACCCACUGAAGAAUCUGACAUUUUUUGAUAUGCUGGCAUUCAUUGUUACAGCCCAUCAUCCCAGCCAUCAAUCCAGGACAUGGGGUCUGUGCCCACGGUGGGAAGGAGGAGGGGGAAGCUGGCUUUGUUCUGACGUUGGGCUUCUUCUGCUCCACCAGUACUUUCUGUGGGGGAAAUAGGUAAAGAAAUGGCUGUUCAGAUGAGAAGAUGUGUCAGUAAACUUUUGCUACAGUGAUGCUGCAAAACAAAUCACUGGUGACUUUCAGUGGCACACAGCAAUAAACAUUUAUUUAGCUCAGGGAUUGACAAUCUUUUUUUUUUUUUAAAGGGCCAAAUAGUAAAUAUUUUAGGUGUUUCAGGCCAUACAGUCUCUGAACUCUGAACUUGUAGCACAACAGUAGCCUUAGAUGCUAUGCAAAUGGAGGAGCAUGACUGUGUUCCAAUAAAACUUUAUUUAUGGACACUAAAAUUGGAAUUUCA
rnacentral:lncRNA from 1 species